GUGGGGAAUUUUGGACAAUGGGCGCAAGCCUGAUCCAGCAAUGCCGCGUGCAGGAAGAAGGCCUUCGGGUUGUAAACUGCUUUUGUACGGAACGAAACGGUCCUGGCUAAUACCCGGGGCUAAUGACGGUACCGUAAGAAUAAGCACCGGCUAACUACGUGCCAGCAGCCGCGGUAAUACGUAGGGUGCGAGCGUUAAUCGGAAUUACUGGGCGUAAAGCGUGCGCAGGCGGUGCUGUAAGACAGGCGUGAAAUCCCCGGGCUCAACCUGGGAAUUGCGCUUGUGACUGCAGUGCUGGAGUGCGGCAGAGGGGGAUGGAAUUCCGCGUGUAGCAGUGAAAUGCGUAGAUAUGCGGAGGAACACCGAUGGCGAAGGCAAUCCCCUGGGCCUGCACUGACGCUCAUGCACGAAAGCGUGGGGAGCAAACAGGAUUAGAUACCCUAGUAGUCC
rnacentral:rRNA from 1 species